rnacentral:sRNA from 1 species
UACUGAGUGCAUGACUUAAUGUGUCUAU